rnacentral:rRNA from 1 species
AGCGAACGCUGGCGGCAGGCAUAACACAUGCAAGUCGAACGCCCCGCAAGGGGAGUGGCAGACGGGUGAGUAACACGUGGGAACGUACACUUUGGUUCGGAAUAACUUGGGGAAACUCCAGCUAAUACCGGAUAAGCCCUUAUGGGGAAAGGUUUACUGCCGAAGGCUCGGCCCGCGUCUGAUUAGCUAGUUGGUGAGGUAAUGGCUCACCAAGGCGACGAUCAGUAGCUGUGCUGAGAGGAUGAUCAGCCACACUGGGACUGAGACACGGCCCAGCCUCCUACGGGAGGCAGCAGUGGGGAAUAUUGGACAAUGGGGGCAACCCUGUUCCAGCCAUGCCGCGUGAGUGAUGAAGGCCUUAGGGUUGUAAAGCUCUUUUACCCGGGAUGAUAAUGACAGUACCGGGAGAAUAAGCCCCGGCUAACUCCGUGCCAGCAGCCGCGGUAA